rnacentral:rRNA from 1 species
AUGCUAAAAGAAAGUAGUGCAAGCCCUUUUGGACCUGCCGAGGUGGCUGCCUGGGAUGAUCUCCUCCAGGACAUCGCCCUGCUGCCUAUGGACGUGGCAGACGCUCCGGAUGCCAUCUCCUGGCGCCUAGAUCCCUCCGGCCGCUUCUCCACCAAAUCCCUCUAAGCGGCCAUUGCCCCCUCGUCAGCUCCGGAGCCCUUCGGCCUUAUCUGGGACAUUCGCCUCCCACUUAAGAUUCGGAUCUUUCUGUGGCAGUGGAUCCGCGGCCGCCUCCCGACCGGCGUGGAGGUCCUCAAGCGCCAUGGUCCUGGUGAUGGAAUGUGCCCCUUGUGUGCCACGGUUGAGGAUGCUAAUCACAUCUUCUUCUCGUGCUGCACGGCACAGUUCCUUUGGUCUUGUUUCCGCGAAACGGUUGGCGGACAGUGGUGCAAUACCAACUUCCCUGACUUGCUUGCCGAAAUUCAGGCCUCCCCCCCUCGCUACAGACAUAUUAGAUGGCUGUGCGUCGGGGUGCUGGCCUGGACCUUGUGGACGGUUUGCAAUAGGCUUGUCAUUCAGAAGGUGCCCCUUCGACGUGCGACUGACUCCAUCUUUAAAAUGUGUGGUUACUUGCAGCUCUGGCGGCCGCUUAGCCGCCCCCCGGACCGGGACGCCAUCGACAGACUCCUCACCGACCUCCGUUCGUUGGCCUUCCGCCUGGCACCUCCGCUCCCGCCGCCACCCCCGGAGCCCGACUAG